rnacentral:rRNA from 1 species
GACGUAGGGGGGCAAGCGUUGUCCGGAAUUAUUGGGCGUAAAGCGCUCGUAGGUGGAUCGAAAAGUCUGUGAGGAAAUGCCUGGGCUCAACUCAGGACCCGUGCGGAUACUUUCGAAUCUUGAGGCAAUCAGAGGAUGAUGGAAUUCCCGGUAGUAGCGGUGAAAUGCGUAGAUAUCGGGAGGAACACCAGUGGCGAAGGCGGC